rnacentral:ncRNA from 1 species
GUUGUGGUACGUUAGUACCACUUCGCGCGACCCGACGGCGGACCUGACACCCGGGGUCGCGCGU